UUUAAUAUUGUAACUGUUGUUUUUAAAAUGCAAAAUUUGAAUUUCAAGAAUUCAAAAUUUAAAUUUUUAAAAUUUUAUUUUCAUUUUAAAUAUUAAAUUGUUAGUUUGAAAUUUUUUUAUAUUCAAAUUUCAAAUUAUAAAUGGUUAAAUUUUAAAUUUCAAAGUUUUGAAUAUUAAAUUUUAAAUUUCAAGUUCAAAUUUAGAUUUUAUAGUUGAAAUUGAAAAUUUAAGUUUAGAUUUUAAAAUUUAAAAUUUAAAAUUUAAAUUUAAAUUUUCAAAUUUUAAAUUUUCAAUUUCAAAUUUUAUUUUAAAUUAAAAUAUCAAAAUUUAAAUUUAUGUGCAAAUAUAAAAUAUAAAAUUUAAAAUUUAUUAUAUAAAAUUGUAAUUCAAAUUUAAAAUUAUAAUUUUAAUUCAAAUUUUAAGUUUUUUAAAAUAAAAUUUAAUUAAAAAAUUAUUAUAUGCAUACAACAAAGAAAUUUUGCCAAAGAUUUUGACAAAAAUUAUUUGAAAAAAAUUACUUUCCAUUUAAAUUCAACCAAACACUCUACAAUUUUUAACCAAAUUAAUUCUCGAAAUCAAAAUCAAUUCUACAUAAAUCACUUUUUCAGAAUCUAGUCCAAAUGGAACCUAUAUAUAUAUUUGAAAAAUCAAAAUGGUAAUUUCACAGAGAUAACG
rnacentral:lncRNA from 1 species